ACAGGGAUUGCCCCAGUAACGGCGAGUGAAGCGGCAACAGCUCAAAUUUGAAAUCUGGCCUCGGCCCGAGUUGUAAUUUGCAGAGGAAGCUUCUGGUGCGGCGCCGUCCGAGUCUCCUGGAACGGAGCGCCAUAGAGGGUGAGAGCCCCGUAUGGACGGAUGCCAAACCUGUGUGAAGCUCCUUCGACGAGUCGAGUAGUUUGGGAAUGCUGCUCUAAAUGGGAGGUAAAUUCCUUCUAAAGCUAAAUAUUGGCCAGAGACCGAUAGCGCACAAGUAGAGUGAUCGAAAGAUGAAAAGCACUUUGAAAAGAGGGUUAAACAGCACGUGAAAUUGUUGAAAGGGAAGCGCUUGUGACCAGACUUGAGCGCGGCGGAUCAUCCGGUGUUCUCACCGGUGCACUCCGCCGCGCCCAGGCCAGCAUCGGCUUCCGCGGGGGGACAAAGGUCCCGGGAACGUAGCUCCUCCGGGAGUGUUAUAGCCCGGGGCGCAAUGCCCCCGCGGGGGCCGAGGACCGCGCAUCUGCAAGGAUGCUGGCGUAAUGGUCAUCAGCGACCCGUCUUGAAACACGGACCAAGGAGUCAAGGUUUUGCGCGAGUGUUUGGGUGUUAAACCCGCACGCGUAAUGAAAGUGAACGUAGGUGAGAGCUUCGGCGCAUCAUCGACCGAUCCUGAUGUAUUCGGAUGGAUUUGAGUAGGAGCGUUAAGCCUUGGACCCGAAAGAUGGUGAACUAUGCUUGGAUAGGGUGAAGCCAGAGGAAACUCUGGUGGAGGCUCGCAGCGGUUCUGACGUGCAAAUCGAUCGUCAAAUCUGAGCAUGGGGGCGAAAGACUAAUCGAACCAU
rnacentral:rRNA from 1 species